GCGACCUGCCCACACGCUGCAUGGGGCAUGGCAGCAGCUUUGGUUGAAGUUGGAGAACUCUCUUGCCUACCUAAGAGAUCUGUCGACAUGCUGUGUGCCCAGCUGUGUUUGACUUCAGCUUCUAUAAUCACCAGCCAGGACAUAUUAACAGGGAGUGACAGACAUUCACGCUCAACAUUUCUGGAGGGCACCACGUUGGAGAAGGCUGCUGUAUAUGACAUGCCCACAGACACAUGAAGGCUCCUGGGAAGCCCAAAACUGAAUUCACAGGAAAGGAGAAGUACAGCUAGACAUCAUCAGCAUAUUGGUGGCAAUUGCCACCUUCUUAUAGGACCCAGAGAGGAAGAAUUGAAUCAACACUGGGCAAUACCUCCUUCCUUCUGCUCCUUCAGGUACUCCAAACUGUGAUUAAAGUGACUGAAAUCUGCCAAGAGAGUCAAAAAUAUCAACGUUGCACUUCCCAUGUCUGUCUUGCAGUACAGAUCAUUCAUCUGGGUGACCAAUACCAUCUCUGUCCAAUUCUAAUUCUGAAUCUAGACUGAGAAAUAAUCAAAAUAAUCUGUUUUCUCUAAAAAUGUUUGCAGGAUUGCAUUGAAAGCCUGCUGUUCCUAGUGUGAGAGCUUGAAGAAAGUAUCCUGACAAUCAGCUGGAAUCCUGAAUACAAUUAUCUGUGAUUGUUAGGUCAGAAAAUUGGGUAUACAAUCAGAAAAGAUUCUGGAUAGAUGCAUAUGAAUGAAGUAACUUGAUUGUUGUUGCUACUGCUGCUGCUAUAUUGUUGUUGGUGGUGUGCAAAUGUCACAAUCUAAUCAACUGGGUAUUGACCUCAAUGAUUCAGAUCCUGGCCGAGAACCUAAACAUGGAGUUAUCUCCACAAAAUGUAUACUGUUCCAGGUAAGGGGAUCUUUUGCAAAAGUAGUAGUGUCACAUCCAGUAAAAUUUAAAAUUUCUGAAAUCUGGUGAAUCCUUUUGGAAUUGCAUCAUGAGUUCCAAUGGCAAUCAGUAUGAAAACUGAUUUUUUCCUCUAUACCCUUUUGACUUCAAUUUGUAAAUCAUAGUAUUUUGUUACUUUAUCCAGUUGUUUUCCAGCAAUUCAAUUGUCUCCUGGUAUUGUCACAUCAAUGGACCACAUCUUCUUUUCUAUAACAAUGGUGUCUGGUUAUUACAUUCUAAGUGCCUAUCAAUAUAAAUUUUGAAAUCCUACAAAAUGUUUUCAUCUCCUUUUACAAAACUUUUUCAGGCACAUGCUCUGAAUAGAUUUUGCAAACAAUAAAGCCAAA